CACUGUGGGCCAAAAGAUAGGAGACUAAUAAGACGAAUAAAAUUGACUGAUUCGACAUUUGUCUUUUCUUUUUUUUCCUUUUUUUUUCUUCCCCCAUUUCAUUCGACGAAAGAAUUAAAUUAUCAUUUUACGAUGAUAUUAGUUUAAAUUUCAACCAACUACUUGCAAAUCUUACAUACAAGAAUUAAACGCAUCCUUCAAAUGGAGCGUGUUCUAAAAGCAGUACCAGCAGGCUUAAGAGUAAAAAUGGAGGCACUUGUGCAUGAUCUGACCAUUGCUCUUGAAGAAAGCAGUAACAGUGCUAAUGUCAGACGUAGAUGGGGUAUAAGGAGGAGAGCUCGUUCAACUGGAAAUAUCCCCUCGCUGAAUAUAAGCAAACACUCGGAUGAUAGUUCAUCUUCCAUCUGCGAUAUCCGUAUUCUAAAAAAUUCAACACCUUCUAAAUAUCAGUCGGACAGCGAUGACACCAAUCAAACUAAAAGAUUUGCAAGGUUUUCUAAUCUGAAUAAUAUAAGCAACAUAGAGAGCGAUUCGGUCAAUGAAAAUUUUAUACCAAGGACUAACACCAGGCGUAAGAGGAAAUUCAAGAAGAUGGCUGUCGAUUCUGAUUCUAAUCCAUCUACAUCGCAAACAGUUACUAUUAUGUCGACCUCUUUAGGGGGAAAAAAGCGGGUCCUUAGGAACGAUUGUAAAAAUAAAUAUGAAGCCAUAUGGUGUGGAAAACGUAAGAGAUCAUGCAGAGAACGUUCUACCGAUUGCGAAAUGCGUUCUUUAAAACCAAACAGAACAUCAAAGUCUAAAGUUCGGGGGAAUAUACAAGGUGAAGAGACCGUAGAUUGCUCGCGUAUAUCAAGUUCAAGUAUUUCUUCUAGCGAUUCUGAAAAUGGUAUAAUCACAAAUGACGAGGAUCGCGAAGGAGACGACGAACAAUCCGACUGGAUAGUGGAAUCAAAUUGGUGGGAUGAUGGAGACAGUACGACUGAAGAUAAAAUAGGAACAGAUUCGACAUUCCAAAUGAUAUUACACGGUAGUUUCGAACAUUCUACCGACGAAAGCAGAAAAAGGUAUAGACAAAAAGUGAAACGAAUUCGCGAAGGCUUUACUGGUAGAGAAAUUCGAGCUGGUCGUCGUCACGUUGAUAAUAAACCCGGAUAUUCAAUCAUUACGUCAGCGAAUGAGAAAGUAUCAAGAUUUUUACAAGAUCCAUCUCAAAGCGAACUUAAAUUACAUCCCAUGCGCCAAGCUGAAAGGGAGAAGUUACGUCGUCUUGCCAAUUUAUACAGUUUAAAUUUAAAAGGCGAUUUAGGUUGUCCAAUAUUAUAUAAAACAUUACAUACAACUCAAGCUGUGUGCGUGGAUCAAGUGUCGUUAAACAGAUUCUCUGAUUACAAAAGAUUAAGAAAGACACCUCCUAACUCACCUAAUCCCGAUUCAAUGAUGCAAUGUCAUGAACAACAUAUUUCUAGUACAAGUUUUGGUACGCAAAUUGUCCAACAAACGCAAGAUACUAUGCCGCUGCAAUCAAUAAGUUUUCCACAAUUUGAUUGGGACUCCAAUAAUAUGGAAAUUGAAAUACAUGGAAAACCAAAAUUUCAAGAUUUUGGACAUUCAAAAUCGAGUUAAAUUAUAUGCAUCGCUUUGCAUUAGUUUGUUUUUUAAUACCUAAUUGGACAGAUAACCUGUUUACUAUUAAUAAGAUUAAAUUUAAUCUUUCUAUUAUAGUCCAAUGCAGCUUUAAAAUUUGUACAAAAUAUGAAAUAAUAAUGAAUAAGUUCAUCAAUUUACUACGCAUAGAGUAAGUUUCAUGAUUCUGAAUGUAAAUAACAAUUUGUAUUUUUCUUAUUAGCAUAGCAUAUCGCAUUAUUGUGAGUGAUAAUUAGUAUACGUGAAACAUUUGUUAAUACUAUAUGUACAUCAUACAGUAUAUAAAUUUGUAAAAA
rnacentral:misc_RNA from 1 species